GCUCUCCUACUUAGCCCAAAUUACUUCGACACCAGUUCAAGAACCUUAAUAUACAGCUCCCCUUUGGUUUAUGCUUUGCAAAACGCAUUCCAACCAUUCCUAAGGGGAUUGUCAUAAAAUUGGGAAAGUCUAUCAGCAACGAAAUCAGAUUUAUCUACUCAGCAGAAUACACAAACAAACUAAAGUUCCUACUUUGAAUGUCCACUUGAGGUGCCAACACAAACAUGUGAGAUGUGGAGCUAUUCUAUGGUAUGAAGAGAGGAACGUCAAGUCAAGAAGACCAUCAAAACCAAAGUUUUUGUUGUGCUGUUCAGAAAGACUAAUUUAUUUACCUUUGUUAAAAUACGCACCUCCAGUUCUUGAAGGAUUGAUGAAUUACUGUGGCCCUUCAUUUGUAAUAGUAUAUCUAAUACAUUUACAUUUCAUUGUAACUGUCUGGUAUAACAAUGUCCAAAGGAUAUAGCUUUCUUGAUUAAAUAUCUGAUGCUAAGGAGACAUGGAGUAUUAGA